rnacentral:tRNA from 1 species
GGAAGAGCGUCGUCCCCGGUGGGGCGCGCGGCCUUCAAAGCCGUUGAGCUGCUGUCAAAGUGGCUGGUCGGGUUCGACUCCUGCCUCUUCCGCCA